rnacentral:misc_RNA from 1 species
CAACCCUCAAGCUCUGCUUGGUGUUGGGGCUCCCGGGGGUCGCCUAGCGCGCCCGGGUCCCCGAAAAACAGUGGCGGUCCCGCCAGGGCUCCGAGCGCAGUAAUUAACCUCGCUCGCGGCGCCCCGGCGCGGCACCUGCCGUAAAACCCCCAUCUUUUAAGAA